AACCUCCGCAAUGUGAGAAAUCGCGGCGGGGGGAUCCCAAGUGCCAUUCUUAACGGGAUGGCUUUUCUUAAGUGUAAAAAGCUUUUGGGAUAAGAGCUGGGCAAGACCGGUGCCAGCCGCCGCGGUAACACCGGCAGCUCUAGUGGUAGCUGUUUUUAUUGGGCCUAAAGCGUUCGUAGCCGGUUUGAUAAGUCACUGGUGAAAUCCUGUAGCUUAACUGUGGGAAUUGCUGGUGAUACUGUUGAACUUGAGGUCGGGAGAGGUUAGCGGUACUCCCAGGGUAGAGGUGAAAUUCUGUAAUCCUGGGAGGACCACCUGUGGCGAAGGCGGCUAACUGGAACGAACCUGACGGUGAGGGACGAAAACUAGGGGCGCGAACCGGAUUAGAUACCCGGGUAGUCCUAGCCGUAAACGAUGCGGACUUGGUGUUGGGAUGGCUUUGAGCCGCUCCGGUGCCGAAGGGAAGCUGUAAGUCCGCCGCCUGGGAAGUACGGUCGCAAGACUGAAACUUAAAGGAAUU
rnacentral:rRNA from 1 species